rnacentral:rRNA from 1 species
UGGGGAAUUUUGGACAAUGGGCGCAAGCCUGAUCCAGCCAUGCCGCGUGAGUGAAGAAGGCCUUCGGGUUGUAAAGCUCUUUCGGCCGGGAAGAAAUCGUGUUCUCUAACAUAGGACAUGGAUGACGGUACCGGACUAAGAAGCACCGGCUAACUACGUGCCAGCAGCCGCGGUAAUACGUAGGGUGCGAGCGUUAAUCGGAAUUACUGGGCGUAAAGCGUGCGCAGGCGGUUUGCUAAGACAGGUGUGAAAUCCCCGGGCUUAAGCUGGGAACUGCGCUUGUGACUGGCAGGCUAGAGUACGGCAGAGGGGGGUGGAAUUCCUGGUGUAGCAGUGAAAUGCGUAGAGAUCAGGAGGAACACCGAUGGCGAAGGCAGCCCCCUGGGCCUGUACUGACGCUCAUGCACGAAAGCGUGGGGAGCAAACA